GUCUGAUCCUGGUCCGAUCCUGGUCCGAUCCUGGUCCGAUCCUGGUCUAAUCCUGGUCUAAUCCUGGUCUGAUCCUGGUCCAAUACUGGUCCAAAACUGGUCUGAUCCUGGUCUGAUCCUGGUCUGAUCUUGGUCCGAUCCUGCUCUGAUCUUGGUCCGAUCCUGGUCUGAUCUUGGUCUGAUCUUGGUCUGAUCCUGGUCUGAUCUUGGUCCGAUCCUGGUCUGAUCCUGGUCUGAUCUUGGUCCGAUCCUGGUCCAAUCCUGGUCCGAUCCUGGUCUGAUCUUGGUCUGAUCUUGGUCUGAUCCCGGUCCGAUCCUGGUCUGAUCCUGGUCCGAACUGCUUUCCUCUGAUGGUCUUCCUGGUUCUGCAGUGGUGAAAGCUCACCUUAACAGCACUGCAAAAACAGAAAUCCAUCCAAAACUAUGGCCCCAUCUGCAGAUUUUCUUUAAAUAAAAGCCUAGAAAAUCUUCUUUUAUGAAAAUAAAUCUAAUCACUAAAAUCGGUUUUCUUCUUGACAAGAUUAUUUUUCUUGCAAGACCCACUUGAAAUAAGAAUCUCUUCAUUCAGCUUUUGCAGCCAGAACAUUGUUUUCUUGCAGAUGAACUCACUUCAGUGUGAAUGCAGAUGGACUUUCCAAACGGAGGACGUGCUGUGACCCCCGAACUGGAGUAAAAGGCCGUUCACGUUGUAACCUGACAGAAGCUGGACGAGCCGACCGUGGCACCCAGGAGGAGAACCGGACCGGAUGGACCGGGACCUUCAUCCAUCAGAAGUUUCUGUACUACAAGAUGAUUCAUGAGCAGAAAAACAGAACUGGGGAGGGAACAUUUCAAAGAGGGGGGUCCCAGGUCAGGGCCCUGUUGCACCCCGUGAGGAUGAAGAGGAGCCGUUUGUCCUCCUCAUGACGGCUGGAGGAGCUGAGUGAGUUUCUUCCAGAGGACGGGCGCCGUUGGUGGUCAGAAGGUAACAGACGCUUUGAUGCUGAUAAAAACCAGGAGCUCAUUGGAAGGUCAAAUGGUCACAUGUUUAUGGACUUACAGUAAAGUUUCACACGUUUCAAACUGAGACUCUUUGGUUUCCUCCUCCAGCGGUUCCUAGAGGAGGAAACUCCUCCCUCCCUGCAGGGAUGCAGCGAUGGAAUGGAGGAGGACACGCAGAGAAGGAGGCGGCGUGAAGCCUCUGAUGAGUGUGACCUCCACUGAAAACAGCUGCAGGGGGUCAAACCGGACCUGCAGGGUUUGCUGCAAACAAUGGAAACAAAAGCAUGAAAAAGCUGCUUUCUUCUGUUUGAAAUAGAUCAUAUUUAGAAAUAAAAACCCAAAUCAAGGGAAUUAUCAAUACAGAAAUGAUAGAAUCCCCUCAGAAUGAAGGAUCAGAGCGGUUCUGGUUCUCCAGAAACGGACUUUGAGGCUGUCCAGAACCUCUUUAGCUGCUCAUCUCCACAGAGAUGUUCCAUCAGAACCGACAGAGGACGAUGACAGAACCUCAACCUGGAAUCAGUCGAUGGAAAGGACCGGGUGGUUCUGAGGAGAGAAGAUCUGGACUGAUGAAGGUCCAAACCUUCCUCCUCCCUCCCAGCUGAGAAACUCAGCUUCUAAUGACACUUCAGCGGCCUACAUUUCCCACAAUCCUCAGCGGCACGGUCCAUUGUCAGAUCCUUGCACCACAGACUCCUCCUGCAGGAGCCCUGCUGUCAGCGCGUCUCCUCAGAACACCUGAGGAGCUGCAGAGCGAGGAGACGGCCCCUUUUCUUCCUGGUCGCUCCUAAACCUCAGCAUCUUCAUCUCUGCCUCCUGACUCUCACCACAGUCUUCUUCACCCUUCCUCUGAACACUCUCCUGACCUGCUUUCACAGGGAGGAUUGUUUGCCUCUGAACAGCUGAGAUGACGACUCAUUUCUGCCAUCAGCCUCUAGACCCGCCUCCAGGGGCGGAGCCUCACUGAUCUGAGAGAAGGCCUCCUUCAGAAGAAAACCUUCUGUUUCAGGACAGCAGAGAGCUGAAGCUGUGACCAUGACUGCUGUGGAAACGACACGCACUGUUCCCUGUGUGUGGGUGUGUGUGUGUGCAUGUGUGUGUGUGUGUGUGUGUGGGUGUAUGUGCGUGUGCGUGUUAUUCAGCCACACAAAGCCAGUGUUUGGAUCAGCAUCUCUGCUCUUUGUGCUUCUGGGAAACAACAGGAGCAGCUCUGCAGAUGAUGCAUCAUGUCAGCAAACGAAACAAUGGAUCCUCUGGUGUCCCCCUCUGACCCACACAAACACACCCAGACAAACACACACAAACACACACAGACACACCCACGCAGAAACAUUCUUUGUUUCUGUAAAUGACCAAAACACUGACCUCAUCAAUCUGAGACGUUUCUUUUUCUCUUCUGGAUUCAUCAACGGUCAUCUCUGGUCACACGCCGCAGAAGAACCUCCCACCAUCAACACGCCGACUGUAAAGCAGCGGUUUUCACAUGAUUCAUCCUAAGAAAGCCAUCCCAAGUUCACCUUCGGACAUAACACGUCAAGAGUCGCCACAGACAAUCAGCUUUCACAGAGAGUUUUAUGCCGGAUGCCCUUCCUGACACGACCCUGCAUUGUAUCCGGGCUGGGGACCGGCACAGGGAUUUGAUUGUACUCAAAUAAAUUGAAAAACAUCUUUAGAAUAAACUCAACAAAAAUCUGUCAGAUUUCUAUUCUGAUGUUCUCUUUUUGACUAGAAACAUUAAAAGUUUGUCUCCUUUCAGCUGAUGCCACCUCCAUUCACAGAAGGAAAAUUCCUGUUUCAACAGCACCACCACGCGGCCGCGGCAGAAACUGCAGCUUCUGCAAAUUCAACCCACUGUUGUGACUAUUCUGUACUUUAAACAAGAAGUAAACAUUCAAUUCAUAAGCAGAUGAUUAAAAUAGUAUAAAACA